UGACGAGUGUGGCUGAAACGUGAGGACCGGCGCGGAGGGAGCCAGCGGACACCAUGUUAGGCGUGGCUCAGGUUUGAGCACCUAGCAGCUAGGAGGCACAGUGGAUAGAGCCUUGGACUUGGAGUCAGGAAGAAAUGACAUUGUGUUGACGUGAAGCACCUAGUGGCACAGUGGAUAGAACUCUGGACCCGGAGUCAGGAAGACCUAAGUUCAAAUCUGGC